rnacentral:lncRNA from 1 species
UUAUAAUGAAAGGCAAACAAGAUUUAAUUUUCUAAUUUUGCAACAUUUUGACGCUUGAGUCUUUAUUUUUCUAGGUCAAUCUUUAAACCAAUUUUGAGAACAUCGAUAUUAAUACCCAUACACAACAUGCAUGCAUGUAUGGACCGUGUCUGGUAGGUAUUGUGCAUGGAGAAACAUCGUAUAUAUGAAUCGAUAAAAUGUGACCCUUGGAAGGUGGACAGUUGUAUGCAGGUGGUGGGAGCCAGUGGGGUCCUAGGUUCUCACUAAAAUUUGAGAUUUUCCCUUUUUCAUAUUACUAUGUUUUAUAUUUAUAAAAUUUUUUCGAAAUUAUAUUAGGCUUUCAUUGGAUUCGAGUUCUGACUCCGUUGCUUGUUUUCCGUUUAGUUGUCAGUUUAUGUCCAAUAAUUACCUAUAAGAAAAUGAAAGCCCGUUUAUUAAAUAUAUUAUAUACGUGUGGAGCUUUAAUUUAUAGCUAAAUUCAUUUAAUAUAAUACAAUAGAAAAUAUCCCAUAAAUACAAGUUGGACCAAAAGGAAAAGGGGUGUUUAUGGAUUGCCAUAUUGGACUGUACUUUAGCAUAUGAUAAGUUUUCCUUUUGGCAUAACCCUAACACACAAGAAAGACAUCUUUUGAAUUUUAAAUUCUACAUGGUCAAUUAACAAAUUUAAAAGAUAAUGUUAAAUAAUUAAUUAGUGGUACCUUAAUUUUGUUCUUCAUCUGUCUAAUUAGAGUUUUGUUUUGACACUAUUUUUGCUGUUCUGAUAGAUUAUUCCUUGAACAAAUAAAGUGACAAAGUGUGGGAAUGACGAUUUAACUAAUGUAGAUCAAUAAUUCUACUUGUACAAAGUUCUAUUUAAAAUGAUUGUUGUGGAUGUUAUUUUGUCAACCUACUUUGUAAAUAAUAUUUGUAAGUAUAGCACAAUUCAACGUGGAUUGAGAAUGACAUUUGCAAUUUUGUCUUCUUCUUCAACUACCCUUCAAUUUGACACUCACUCUUCUUGUAGUUUCAUAAGAAAAAAAAUCAUAUUAGAAUUAUGAAAACAUAUUGGUACGUUGAAUUUGUUAAAUUUUCAUGUCCUUUAAAUAUGAAAAUAAUAACAAAAAAGUUUUACUUAUCUUAAAAUGUUAAACUUUUAAGACGUAACAUAAAGACUAAGGGUCUAAUUGGUCGGGUUUCUGCUUUCAGUAGAAGAGUUUUUUAACAAAAUUAUCUUAUAUCAAUUUUUUUUUUCUAAAAACUCUUAUAGUUAGACAAAACAAUUCAAGAAAAGACCUGAACAAAUUCAUAAACAACUUCUUAGUCGUAGAAAAAAACUUUUCAAAAGCCUGCCGAACGGCCCUUCAAUAUUGUACCAAGUCUUAAAAGCUCAAAUAAGCAUUUUCGUUCGCUUAAAGCUCAACAGACGACAGGCAGCUGAAUUUAUGAACAGCAACUUGCUUGUCAUGAUAAAAGUAAAACCUAAUGUCCGUUAAAUAUGAAAAUAAUAAUCAAGUCUGAACUAAUCCCCUUCAAGGAUGGAAAACAAAUUACCUUUAUUAAUUGCAUUCUUUGGCCAAUACUUCUCUACAAUUCCUAAAGAACUUUGUACAAGUUUUAGCUAGGGCCGCGCAAAAAAACCGUACAAUCGCAAACCGAACCGAAAACGUUGAGUUGAAAUCGUUGUUUUGGAUCCACGUGGACCCGUGGUUUCUUUUUCCGUCAAACCGAACCAAACCAUUUCAAAAUGGUUUGGUUUAUGUUUUGAUUUUUAAAAAUCGCACAAAACCAAACCGAACCGUUUUUAAAUUUUUUAAUUAAAAAAAUAAUUUUAUUAACUUAAUAAUUUUACAGUUUUCAUUUAAAAAAAAAAAACCAAUUUAACAAUAUAAAUUACACACACCCUACUGAAAUAAUCAUAGAAAGUAAAUUAAGUUCAUCAAUAUUAACAUAUGAUUUAACAGGUUCACAACAUAUGUCCUCAUCCGAUAUCUACGCUAAACUAAAAAUUCCAAAAUCAUAUGAAAUGAAAAAAACACAAUUUUCAACAAUCCAAAUCAUAAUUCAAUAAAACUACGUUAGUAAAUCAUGUCCAAAGUUUCAGAAAUCCUAACAUAAGCUCUCAUUUCCUUAACAUUUGUCGUUUGUCUAUUACUGCUGAACAAAUAGCCAGCCGUCUUUACCUGUUAGUCUACUAAUCUUCACCUAAAUCGCCUCUUUCUCUCUUCUCUUUCGAUAAGUCUUAGAUUUUUAUUCAAGUCAUUUUUCCAUUGUUCUUUCUUUUAUUUGUUUUUUGAACUUAUUAUACACUUGUAAGUUAUGAUUUGGAUAGAAAAAUGAUUGUUUGUGUGCCUAGAUGAUCCAUGAACUUGUUUGUGAUUUGAAAAGAACGAAGGACGGAGCGUAUUGAUUAUGUAAAAAUGUUAAAGUUCCUUAACUAGUACUCUACCUUCUACUUUACAUCUCACUAGCAAAACGAAAAGGAGUUUUAACCAAACUAUAAUAAGAUAAUGUAACUCUACAUUUACCAACCGCUAUAUGACAAUAAAAAUGAAGAAGAGAUAUUUUUGUUCUAUUAAUAUCUUUUAACAACCAACUUUGAAAAUAAUUUAUUCAUGGGUUUCAUAAUGAAUAUGAAUGUAAUUUAACAUUUAACAUUAUUAGUUCUCGUUUAAAUUUAUAUUUAACUAUGUUAAAUACAUUACUAUAAUGUCGAAAGGUAAACCGCAAAUUAAAAUUGAACCAAACUGCAAAUUAUGGUUUGGUUAAAAAAAAAUGGUUUGGCUUGGUUUGAAAAAAUUUUAACC